UGCUUCUUUAUAGAAGAGGGAGGUUCCUCAUUAGAUGCCAGGCUAGUAUGUAGAAACUCUUCCGCUGCCCACAUUUACAGCCCUGAGGUAGAGUUGAUUUACAGUGUUGUGUUAGUUUCUAGGGUACAGCAAAGUGGUUCAGUUCUGUGGAUAUAUAUGCUUUUUAGAUCCUUUUCCAUUAUAGUUUAUUACAAGGAAUGAAUACAGUUUCCUGUGCCAUACAGUAGGACCUGCUAUUUAUCUAUUUUAUAUAUAGUUGUUCAGGCCAAGUGUUUAAACAAUGACAUUGCAAAGGCUGCACCCAAAGGAAGAUAACAGGACAAGAGGAGCCAGAGAGAGAGGAGCGGCUGUCCCAGGCCAGGAAGAAGAGAAAUAUCUCCUUCCAUGAAUCCCUUUAUAGGAGCAAUCAUUGGAAAAGGGAG
ensembl:lncRNA